UGGGCGGCCAUGACAGUCUCUUCCGGAAGUAGCCUGGAAGUGACUUCCGCUUCCUGUUACCCAUCUCUUAGCGACGGGGAAGACUAAGGCGCUUCCUAGAGCCUGAGGAAAUGAAACGAACGGGUGUUUCCGGAGGACACCUUCGGAGGCGACUUGAAACAGUCGCAGAAUCGAAGUCUUCCCAGGGAACCACAUUGAGGCCUAGGAGAGCCAAGACUCCCUCGGGCCCCGGAAUUUGGUACGCUCCACGCCGGGUGACGCACUUCCGCUUCCGGUGCUUCGCGCAGACCCGUCAUGGCCUCCACGGGGGCGAGUCGCCGUGGUGCUGUGUCUCAGCGGCCGCCGCAGGCCCGAUCCUCGCGACAGGACAAGUAUUCGGUCCUUCUGCCUACCUACAACGAGCGCGAGAACCUGCCGCUCAUCGUGUGGCUGCUGGUGAAGAGCUUCUCCGAGAGGUAGAAGAAGCUUCUCGCGCGCUGCCGGCCGCGGGCUGCGCGGCGGCGGUUGGCCGCGCGAGGGGACCCACUGAGGCCCGGCCUCGGCUCCCGCCCGAGCCUGCUCGAGGCUUUUCCCAGCGACGAAAGCCAUGGCGGACAGCCCCGCGGCUGUCUCCCGUGCGUCUCUCCUUCCCGCUCAGUGCGAUCAACUAUGAAAUUAUAAUCAUAGAUGAUGGAAGCCCAGAUGGGACAAGAGAAGUUGCUGAACAACUGGAAAAGAUCUAUGGGCCAGACAGAAUUCUCCUAAGACCACGGGAGAAAAAGCUGGGCCUCGGAACUGCCUAUAUUCAUGGAAUAAAACAUGCCACAGGAAACUAUGUCAUCAUUAUGGAUGCUGACCUCUCACACCAUCCCAAAUUUAUUCCUGAAUUUAUCAGGACAUGGAAAAGAUGAAGUCCUUGUUGUCUAGAAUUAGGCUUGACUUAUUAUAGUCAAAGACCAUAAACCAUAGGAUUUGUCCAGGAGUUGCCAGGAUUCUAGGCAUCUUGAUUCCACAGUGUAAUCCCUCACUACGUUGUCAGUCAGCAGCCACAGCUUAAAAGAGGGAAUUAAAGGAAACAAUUUCCAUGUGGCCAGUAAAGCAUGAGAGAAGUCCAUCCUGUUGUGAUCGUGAAGGUGCCUGUCACCGGUUAAGUCUGUCAGAGGUGGAGGCUUUUAAAGAACCAGUAAAAUGAUAAGCCGGAUAUGUGCGGUGCUGCUGAAGGAGGAAACAAAAGGAGGGUAAUUUUGAUAUUGUCUCUGGAACUCGCUACAAAGGAAAUGGGGGUGUUUAUGGCUGGGAUUUGAAAAGAAAGCUAAUCAGCCGUGGGGCCAAUUUUAUAACUCAGGUUUUGCU